rnacentral:rRNA from 1 species
CACGUAGGGCGCAAGCGUUGUCCGGAAUUAUUGGGCGUAAAGAGCUUGUAGGCGGUUUGCCGCGUCUGCUGUGAAAUUUCGGGGCUCAACCCCGAACUUGCAGUGGGUACGGGCAGACUAGAGUGUGGUAGGGGAGACUGGAAUUCCUGGUGUAGCGGUGAAAUGCGCAGAUAUCAGGAGGAACACCGAUGGCGAAGGCAGGUCUCUGGGCCAUAACUGACGCUGAGAAGCGAAAGCAUGGGGAGCGAACAGG